UUCAUCAUUCUAUAUCCUUAAAUACAAUGUAAGUCUCCUUGAUGCAGUCUGAUUCUUAGAUAUGCAAAACCUUUUGCAGAGUAGAAUCUUCCUUUGUUAAAUGCAAGAUUUCUUAUAGUUAUGCAGAAAUGAAAUUGAUGUUCUUUCAUUUAGUAGUUAUGUUGAUAUAGGGUCUCAACAAGGUAGGAGGAGAUAAUGGAGAUAAGAUGACCAGUUUACUUGUCACAUAUAGAGAGUCGGAGAAGGAGGUUGCUAACGGAGAGAAGGGAGGAGAUGGAGGACAAAUAGGCUUUUCACUUAGGUCUUCUUGGGGAGGAAGAAGGGUCUUUGUAUCUCAUGCUCUAGAAUAUAUAUAAGUGGGUGUCUCUUGUUUGGCAGUAUCACG
rnacentral:lncRNA from 1 species